rnacentral:rRNA from 1 species
UACGAAGGGGGGCUAGCGUUGCUCGGAAUCACUGGGCGUAAAGGGUGCGUAGGCGGGUCUUUUAAGUCAGGGGUGAAAUCCUGGAGCUCAACUCCAGAACUGCCUUUGAUACUGGCGAUCUCGAGUCCGGGAGAGGUGAGUGGAACUGCGAGUGUAGAGGUGAAAUUCGUAGAUAUUCGCAAGAACACCAGUGGCGAAGGCGGCUCACUGGCCCGGUACUGACGCUGAGGUGCGAAAGCGUGGGGAGCAAACAGG